rnacentral:rRNA from 1 species
CGCCGAUGGUAGUGUGGCUUGCCAUGCAAGAGUAGGUCACCGCCAGGG